rnacentral:rRNA from 1 species
AUGCCGAGGUUGCGUCGCGUGCGGCCGGGCCGGGCCGUGGAAGAGGACCGCCUCAGCGCGCUCCCAGAAGAGCUGAUCCGCCUCAUACUGAGCCGGCUGGACACCCGCAGCGCGCUCUCGACCGCCGUCCUCGCCAGGCGCUGGGCACGCGUCCCCCGCGAGAUCCCAGCGUACGACUUCAGGGUGAGCGACAUACUCCCGCUAGAGUACGACCAGACGAUCGCCCUCCGCCGGCUCAACCUGCCGCGCGACGAGGCUCUGUGCAGGAUUGUCGACGGCCCGAUGGCGAGCUGCGAGGCCUCUACCAUGCGCGCGUUCGUGGACGGCGUCACCGGCUUCUUGGAGGCAGACGGCGGCGCCGCACGCCGGUGCCCCAAGACCCUCCGCCUCGAGUUCUUCCAGACGGACGACGGCGCCCGCAUAGUCGACCGCCUGAUCACUACCGCUGUCGGCGCGUGGGGAGUGGAGGACCUGGAGGUGGCCGUCAGGCCGGCGUUCCACGGGCCCCCGCCGGGCUACGGCAUCCCCCUCGAGGACGGCGACAGGUCGCGCCUGCGCAGCCUGACGCUGGGCAACUGCACGCUCCCGCCCAAGCUGCACUGCUACGGCGCGCUCACCAAGCUGGUCUUGCGAGACAUGGCCGCUUCCACGCCCGUGGACGUGUACGAGAGGGUGUUCAGCGAGUGCGCACGGCUGCAGGCGCUGCACCUCACGUCCUGCGGCUGCGCGGGGGACCGUCUGGUGGUGUGUUCACAGAUCAGGGAGUUCGUCGUGGAAGGGUGCUCGUUCAUGGAGAUCGAGCUGCGGGACCUCCCAAUGCUUGCCCGCCUGGCCUGCCUAACCAACACGGUGGAGCUCGUCUUCGGCUCGGUUCCGUGCCUCACGCACACCAACCUCACCUUCUUUGUGGAGGAGGAUCCGGUGGUUUUGCCGCCGCACCACGAUGAGCUCAACCAGUUCCUGGACAUGUCGCCAACCAUGGAGAACCUCGUCAUCCGGUUCACCGGGCCGAUUGGGGUCAAGAAACUAGACAAGCCAUUGCUCCACCUGAAGAAGCUCCUUGUCGCCGACGUGCCCUCCAACUGGGACGUCUCAUGGACGCGCACCCUCCUCAUGGCCGCGCCAUCACUCGAGGUCCUGCACAUCCAUGUGGCUCGCUCGGAGAUUCCAGAAACUUACGGGAUAAUAUGGUCAAGAACGAGCCAGAAGCAAUGCCACCCUCACAUGAAGGAGCUGGUCAUGAUUGGAUUCACGCUCACGCGGCUCCAAAUGGAGUUUCUCAAGUACGUUGUGAGCGCGUGCACAUCCUUACAACGCCUUGUUCUUCUCAAGGAUGGCCGUGUUCGAUACCAUGGACUUUGGGAUUGGGACAUGGCCAGGGAACAGCAAGAGUGCCGGUGGAGAGAUCAUGAUAAAAGGGCGGUGAGAAGAAUGAUCCAAUCUGGGCCUAGUCCUCUCGUUGAACUCACCUUGGGAUUCACCUUGGGAUGA